rnacentral:lncRNA from 10 species
CAACCAUGCUUGCUUUCAAAAGACCAGAAAUGCUCGUUUGGAAGGGCAACCAUUAUUUCUUGCUUUACAGAAAGAUUUUUCUGAAGGUUAUAAAAAGGAAAAGCAAAUAGAGAAAAUGGGUAGUUUUGGACAUCUUGUGCUUGGAGGUCAGCCAAACCCAUCAAAUAUCAGCCUAUGGACAUGCUUUGUACUCAACUCUCAGCAGGGAACAUAAAACCAGGGCAACAAACAGUGCCUGAAUUGUUUUCUUCGGAAGAAUGGAGACCAUAGUAGUACCCAUCUCAUAGAUCUGUAAGUAAUAAAUAAGUUACGCAUGCAAAAAACACUUAAAAGAGUAUCUGCCACGUGACAAGCACUCAUAUGCAUUAGCUACUAUCAUUAUUAGUUUAGUUACAAGUUUAGUUAAUUAAUAAUUUAGUUAUUUUAUAGAGGAAUAAAAGUACAAUUUGAUAUGGAGUUGUGUCUGAGAAGAUUGUUAUUGAUUUAGCAAAGAUAUAACAUAUGCUUUAUAUAUUUCAAAAAAUAAAU